AGCGAACGCUGGCGGCAGGCUUAACACAUGCAAGUCGAGCGGGGGAAGGUAGCUUGCUACUGGACCUAGCGGCGGACGGGUGAGUAAUGCUUAGGAAUCUGCCUAUUAGUGGGGGACAACAUCUCGAAAGGGAUGCUAAUACCGCAUACGUCCUACGGGAGAAAGCAGGGGAUCUUCGGACCUUGCGCUAAUAGAUGAGCCUAAGUCGGAUUAGCUAGUUGGUGGGGUAAAGGCCUACCAGGGCGACGAUCUGUAGCGGGUCUGAGAGGAUGAUCCGCCACACUGGGACUGAGACACGGCCCAGACUCCUACGGGAGGCAGCAGUGGGGAAUAUUGGACAAUGGGGGGAACCCUGAUCCAGCCAUGCCGCGUGUGUGAAGAAGGCCUUAUGGUUGUAAAGCACUUUAAGCGAGGAGGAGGCUACUUUAGUUAAUACCUAGAGAUAGUGGACGUUACUCGCAGAAUAAGCACCGGCUAACUCUGUGCCAGCCGCCGCCGUAA
rnacentral:rRNA from 1 species